GGGAGAAAUAUAAAAUAUUGCACUUGGGCAAAAAAAAUGAGAGGCACAAAUACAAGAUGGGUGACACCUGGCUUGAGAGCAGUACAUGUGAAAAGGAUCUAGGAGUCUUGGUUGACCACAAACUUGACAUGAGCCAACAGUGUGACGCGGCAGCUAAAAAAGCCAAUGCAAUUCUGGGCCUCAUCAAUAGGAGUAUAGCAUCUAGAUCAAGGGAAGUAAUAGUGCCACUGUAUUCUGCUCUGGUCAGACCUCACCUGGAGUACUGUGUCCAGUUCUGGGCACCACAGUUCAAGAAGGACACUGACAAACUGGAACGUGUCCAGAGGAGGGCAACCAAAAUGGUCAAAGGCCUGGAAACGAUGCCUUAUGAGGAACGGCUAAGGGAGCUGGGCAUGUUUAGCCUGGAGAAGAGGAGGUUAAGGGGUGAUAUGAUAGCCAUGUUCAAAUAUAUAAAAGGAUGUCACAUAGAGGAGGGAGAAAGGUUGUUUUCUGCUGCUCCAGAGAAGCGGACACGGAGCAAUGGAUCCAAACUACAAGAAAGAAGAUUCCACCUAAACAUUAGGAAGAACUUCCUGACAGUAAGAGCUGUUCGACAGUGGAAUUUGCUGCCAAGGAGUGUGGUGGAGUCUCCUUCUUUGGAGGUCUUUAAGCAGAGGCUUGACAACCAUAUGUCAGGAGUGCUCUGAUGGUGUUUCCUGCUUGGCAGGGGGUUCGACUCGAUGGCCCUUGUGGUCUCUUCCAACUCUAUGAUUCUAUGAUUCUA